rnacentral:lncRNA from 1 species
UGGUCACAUCUCGCUCAAAACGCUUGACUGAUCAAGAAUUCAAACCUCUCGGUGAAUCAGUCCAAGCGUGAGAACCCCUUCAGUAUUCUCCGGCGAAAUCCAAACAGAUUGCCAAAAGAAUUACUAAUGGGGAGGAGGUGGGUAGUAUAUCAGGUAAGUGUAACUACGUUCACAAAAUUCCAAUUUGUGAACAAAAUUGUACAAUUUUAAUAUUACUUGUUACACUUACCUGAUAUCCUUACAUUAUGGAUAUCCAUAGAUUCUAAAGCAGUCCCAACUCAAGCGGUGGACUGUAAUUCUUUUGUUCAAAUAAUGUACACUAUAUUACACUAUAUACAAAGUCUAAAUGUUUGACUUUAAACACAUUAAAUAGAUGUCUUUUUCAUCUCACACACAAAGGUUUAAAAGCUUGCAUCGCAUCUCGUCGGAUAUGAAUAGUUCCAACACUAUACAAACUAUAUUACAAGUUAAAAAACUGUACACAUUUUUCUUCUUUUUUUUCGAAUUUUAUGUAUUUUUCUUCUUUUUUUUUUUUUUUUUUUUUUUUCUUUUUACUUCGAUAAAACAUGAGGGUCUAUGUGACGUAAGUAAAAUUUGGUGAAUGUGGAUUCCCUGCUCCAAUCAGCAGCUUCCAUGAUGUUCUUCAUUGAUGCACCUUUAUAAAGAGCCCAAGAAGGACCAAUAGCUCUUGUCGAAUGAGCCUUAAUAGAUUUCUUUUUGUCGUUAUAUGCCAUCUGAAUGGUACUCACAAUCCAUGAUGAAAUUGUUUGACUUGAAAUUGGCUUAUGUGGAUUACUGAUUGCUAAGAACAAUUUACUAUCUUGUCUGUUUUCACCACGAAAAUUGUCAGUGCUCUUUAAAUAGUACGUUAAUGCCCUUUUAGGGUCAAGAAGCUUUUCUGCAUCAAAGGCAGGUACAAAAAUCUUAGCACCAAAAUGUCCAGGACGGUCUUGUUUUGACAAUCCUUCUCUAAUAAAAUAAACUCCUCUGCUAUGUACAGAUAUAUUUCCAUCUCCCAAACGUAAGGCCUGUAUAUCACUGCAACGCCUGAAAGUAGUGAUAGCAAUUAAAAAUACAGUUUUCCAUGUGAUAAACUUGAGUUCAGCCUUUUUCAUUGGUUCAAAAGGCUUUUUCUUUAACAUUUCAAGUAUUUUAUCUAAAUUCCAUUCAGGAAGUAGUUUGACCCUGGGAGGCCUUGAAUUGAAAACACCCUUCAAUAAACGAAUAAUGUAUGGGUGUUGACCUACUGGUAUUUUUUCAACUGGGGGUAAAACACUUGAUAACAUAGAUCUGUAGCCCCCAAUCGUACUAUACUGGAGACCACUGGUAUACAGACUUGUAAGAAAAUCUGCAGUUUCUGUUAAAGAGGCAGAAUAGGGAUCAAUUUCCCUUUCACUACACCAGCCACAGAAUUUUUUGAACUUACUAGAAUAGUCCUUUUGAGUUCCUGUUCUCCAAGAAGCUGACAUGAGUUGUCUAGUUUCUUUAGAAAAGCCUCUCUUUUUGAAAAUUCUGUUGAUAGAGGCCAUGCAACCAGACUGAAUAUUUCUGGGCUUGGAUGGUAUAUUUUUGUUCUUGGCUGAUGUAGUAGAUUUUUUUGAACUGGUAUUUUUAUGGGAUAAUCUGAUAUCAUUUUUAGCAGUUCUGGGUACCAGUGUCUCCUUGGCCAAUGAGGAGCUACAAGAAUUAGCUGGCAAUUGUACCGAUUCAUGUGUUGGAGCACUUUCGGUACUAGACAGAUCGGAGGAAAUGCAUACCCGAUUACAUUGUCCCACGGUAUGGACAGAGCAUCUAUUGCAU